rnacentral:rRNA from 1 species
GAGUUUGAUCAUGGCUCAGAUUGAACGCUGGCGGCAUGCCUUACACAUGCAAGUCGAACGGCAGCACGGGAGCUUGCUCCUGGGUGGCGAGUGGCGAACGGGUGAGUAAUGCAUCGGAACGUAUCCUGGAGUGGGGGAUAACGUAGCGAAAGUUACGCUAAUACCGCAUAUUCUGUGAGCAGGAAAGCGGGGGACCUUCGGGCCUCGCGCUCUUGGAGCGGCCGAUGUCGGAUUAGCUAGUUGGUGAGGUAAAGGCUCACCAAGGCGACGAUCCGUAGCAGGUCUGAGAGGAUGAUCUGCCACACUGGAACUGAGACACGGUCCAGACUCCUACGGGAGGCAGCAGAGGGAAUUUGGACAAUGGGGGCAACCCUGAUCCAGCCAUGCCGCGUGAGUGAAGAAGGCCUCGGU